rnacentral:lncRNA from 1 species
AUGCCUCCAAAAUCCCGGUGUGUGUCUGCCUCUCAGACUCCAGGCUGCGUGUGUCUGCGCGCGUCACCGCCUCACAGCCAUGGCAAAUACAGCGCCACUGGGUGCGGGCCCCAAGGGACUUGGCUUGUGGGCGGGACCUGGCCGGGAGGAGCCCUCAGCGUGGUUUUCACGGGAAAUUGUGCCCGAAGUCUGCCCUGCCCCCUGUUGGUUACGGCUCUUGCCCACCCCUGCCCCCCGCUGAGGCUGAUCUCCAGGGGUGCGCAGACACAAGAAGUUCUCACCUGGAGUGGAAGCUGGGUCCUGUCCAGGAGGCCCUUGGUGGGGGGGACUGAGCGUGCGUGCAGGAGUGGGGGUAGCGCAGCUCUGGAGGACUGGCCCCCAUGCUGUGUGGCCAUGGGAUCCGUGUCCGCCUUGGGAGGGGAGCGUGUGUGCACACUUGCCCUGGGGGACCGUGCAGACCACAGGGAGCAGGCCUGGGGGGACUCCACGAUGGGAGAGUGUGACCUGCUGUGGGGUCGGGGGGAAGCUCACCAAGUCCCUGGUUUCCGGAGAGACCCCAGGGAGUGUCUGGGGCCCUGGGGCCCGGCUGCUCUCCUUCCAUCCAUGUGGGCUGCCCUCCAGAAGCCUGGGGUGGUCACAGUGGGCUUCUGCAGCCCUGCGAAGAGGCUGGCCCUAGGGGACAGGGGUCCCCCUGCGCCUCCCGGGGCUGCAGCGCCAGGUCCUGGCACAGCUGGUGUGCGGGGGGAAGUGCUCAGCAGGGCUGUGUGCCUGGCGCAUGCUCACCUGUCCCCCAGCCAAUCGCCCCCACCCCGACGCCCCACCCAGUGUGUUCUCCAUCUGCUGUGCAGAUGUCCCUGCCCGGCCUGCUGCAGACUCGGCUGGCUCACAGGGCAGCCCGGGAGGCGGGCGGGGUCAAAGGACCCUUGGGCUUUCCCACCUGAGAGCGCUUUGGGGAGAGGAGCGGCCCAGCCCUGUGGUUUUGGGAGGAUGGCGGGCACUGGUGGGAAGACGUGGGAUUGCACCUUCCUCUCCGUGGGGACAGGGUCUGUGACUGCAGUGGCCACAGCUGGCCCAGCCCCCUGCCCAGCAUCUGGCUCCGAAGGAGCAGGUGAGUGCUGGUGA